UGAACACCCAGCUGCAGAGCGGAGGCUCAGAAAUGGAUGCUUGCUCACCUCCUGCAUGUGGUGUCCUAGAAAGCCUCUUGUUUCUCCAGCUGUCCUCCCCGGCAGCAUUGGCAUCACCUGGGAGAUUGCUAGAGAUGCAGAUCCCAGGCCCUCGCAGAUCCAUGGAGUCAUCACCUGCAUUUUAGCAAGAGUUCCAGGUGAUUCGUGUGCACAUUACAGUUUGAAAAAUAUUGGUUUUAUGGAUCCUGUGAGUCUGCUUAUCACAGUCAUUUGAAGAGAGAAACAACAACUGCCAAUCAUGAAACAGAGGAUGUGUGAGAUAUGGGCUUGCUGUGAACCAAGAUGAUCCAAAGGGGAUGCUGAAAGCUUAGCAGAACCAAAUACUCAAAUAGAAAAAAUGUGGCUGAUUUGCUUCAACAGCUUUCCGAGAUAAUAUACCAAAGUGGAAACUGAUAGCUUCUCCAGAUCAUACUUGCUCAUUCUGUCCCCGAUUCUUGGGCAGAACUCUGGUCUAGAGAGAACUUUCCUUAUUCCAAGAAGCACCGUGAGCAGAAGACCUAAAACAAGACCCAUAGAGUAAAGGGACAUGGGAAACAAAAUGGCAAAUCUGACAUCAGAAAAAAAUGAAGAAGAAAAUAAAUAAAAAAUAUAGCCUUCAUACUUUUAAGUAAAAUGAGUGUAAGCUAGUUGCAAAAGACAUAAAAUUAAUAAAAGAUAACAACUUAAUAAAAGAUAUCAAAUCUAAUCUGUCUCUCUCACAUGCACAGACACACACACACACACACACACACACACACACACACAAAGUGUUGAAAGGAUAAUCAGGCAGGCCGAUUUUAAGAAAUAAAUGUAAAAAUAAAGUCAUCAAAAACUGUCACCGCAUUAAGAACCUAAAGGAUUAAGAAAGACAACAUAGAAAAUAGCAUCCAUGAGCAUAGAAGGCUUGAAAUAAUCACAGAAAAAGAAAUGAAACAAAAAAAUUAGAAAGCGAUUAGAUACAAUAUUAUAGAUAUGGAAGUCAGAC
rnacentral:lncRNA from 10 species